CGAAAAUAGAGCGGCAGGUCGGUAGUCCCUGCAUUCCCAAGCGGGUUCUUCCCAGCCACGG
rnacentral:ncRNA from 1 species